rnacentral:snoRNA from 1 species
AGUCCGUGAUUGGGGCAUCUCCGGAUAAGUUGUUUAAACCGCUCCCAAGUUUCGAAGAGUGCUUCGUCGGCUUCUUGCAGAAAAUUUUAGAUCUCUCUCCGGAUU